AUAGGCGUUGUAGUUCACCUCAGCAUCUUGCAGCUGCUUUUGAAGGUCAAAGAAUUUGAUCGAUCAGUCUCGAUCGCGUUCGGCCUGGGUUGCGAGCUAGGAUGAACUCCCUUCCAACUGGCCAAUCUUUUCUCGUGCAGCUGCCAGCUUGACUUCAACAGAGCUGAUCUUGGAAGCCUGAGUCCAAGAUCGAUCGCUGGCGCAUUUUUGGAGUUCCUCAAGCUCUGCCACGAAGUCGGCUUUCCUCCGGGUGUAUUCCAUGAAACCCUUCUUGUGGAGGUCCCGAAAGCGAGUAG
rnacentral:lncRNA from 1 species